rnacentral:rRNA from 1 species
CUAAUACAUGCAAGUCGAGCGAACAGAUAAGGAGCUUGCUCCUUUGACGUUAGCGGCGGACGGGUGAGUAACACGUGGGUAACCUACCUAUAAGACUGGAAUAACUCCGGGAAACCGGGGCUAAUGCCGGAUAACAUAUAGAACCGCAUGGUUCUAUAGUGAAAGAUGGUUUUGCUAUCACUUAUAGAUGGACCCGCGCCGUAUUAGCUAGUUGGUAAGGUAAUGGCUUACCAAGGCGACGAUACGUAGCCGACCUGAGAGGGUGAUCGGCCACACUGGAACUGAGACACGGUCCAGACUCCUACGGGAGGCAGCAGUAGGGAAUCUUCCGCAAUGGGCGAAAGCCUGACGGAGCAACGCCGCGUGAGUGAUGAAGGGUUUCGGCUCGUAAAACUCUGUUAUUAGGGAAGAACAUAUGUGUAAGUAACUGUGCACAUCUUGACGGUACCUAAUCAGAAAGCCACGGCUAACUACGUGCCAGCAGCCGCGGUAAUACGUAGGUGGCAAGCGUUAUCCGGAAUUAUUGGGCGUAAAGCGCGCGUAGGCGGUUUCUUAAGUCUGAUGUGAAAGCCCACGGCUCAACCGUGGAGGGUCAUUGGAAACUGGGAAACUUGAGUGCAGAAGAGGAAAGUGGAAUUCCAUGUGUAGCGGUGAAAUGCGCAGAGAUAUGGAGGAACACCAGUGGCGAAGGCGACUUUCUGGUCUGUAACUGACGCUGAUGUGCGAAAGCGUGGGGAUCAAACAGGAUUAGAUACCCUGGUAGUCCACGCCGUAAACGAUGAGUGCUAAGUGUUAGGGGGUUUCCGCCCCUUAGUGCUGCAGCUAACGCAUUAAGCACUCCGCCUGGGGAGUACGACCGCAAGGUUGAAACUCAAAGGAAUUGACGGGGACCCGCACAAGCGGUGGAGCAUGUGGUUUAAUUCGAAGCAACGCGAAGAACCUUACCAAAUCUUGACAUCCUUUGACCACUCUAGAGAUAGAGCUUUCCCCUUCGGGGGACAAAGUGACAGGUGGUGCAUGGUUGUCGUCAGCUCGUGUCGUGAGAUGUUGGGUUAAGUCCCGCAACGAGCGCAACCCUUAAGCUUAGUUGCCAUCAUUAAGUUGGGCACUCUAGGUUGACUGCCGGUGACAAACCGGAGGAAGGUGGGGAUGACGUCAAAUCAUCAUGCCCCUUAUGAUUUGGGCUACCACGUGCUACAUGGACAAACAAAGGGCAGCUAAACCGCGAGGUCAUGCAAAUCCCAUAAAGUUGUUCUCAGUUCGGAUUGUAGUCUGCAACUCGACUACAUGAAGCUGGAAUCGCUAGUAAUCGUAGAUCAGCAUGCUACGGUGAAUACGUUCCCGGGUCUUGUACACACCGCCCGUCACACCACGAGAGUUUGUAACACCCGAAGCCGGUGGAGUAACCAUUUAUGGAGCUAGCCUUCGAAGG